AUUGAACGCUGGCGGCAGGCCUAACACAUGCAAGUCGAGCGGUAGAGAGGUGCUUGCACCUCUUGAGAGCGGCGGACGGGUGAGUAAUGCCUAGGAAUCUGCCUGGUAGUGGGGGAUAACGCUCGGAAACGGACGCUAAUACCGCAUACGUCCCACGGGAGAAAGCAGGGGACCUUCGGGCCUUGCGCUAUCAGAUGAGCCUAGGUCGGAUUAGCUAGUUGGUGAGGUAAUGGCUCACCAAGGCGACGAUCCGUAACUGGUCUGAGAGGAUGAUCAGUCACACUGGAACUGAGACACGGUCCAGACUCCUACGGGAGGCAGCAGUGGGGAAUAUUGGACAAUGGGCGAAAGCCUGAUCCAGCCAUGCCGCGUGUGUGAAGAAGGUCUUCGGAUUGUAAAGCACUUUAAGUUGGGAGGAAGGGUCGUUACCUAAUACGUGACGAUUUUGACGUUACCGACAGAAUAAGCACCGGCUAACUCUGUGCCAGCAGCCGCCGUAAAAC
rnacentral:rRNA from 1 species